CAUGACGCCACAACCGUUCUUCUUCGUAUUCUUUUUUACUCUCCCCGAUGCGGGGGGCGAUUUGUCGUGUGAGUAAGAAUACGAAGACGAACAAAAAAGCCUCCUGAAAUCAGGAGGCUUUUUUAUU
rfam:Dickeya dadantii 3937, complete genome.